GAGGAAUAUUGGUCAAUGGACGCAAGUCUGAACCAGCCAUGUCGCGUGCAGGAAGACUGCCCUAUGGGUUGUAAACUGCUUUUGUACGGGAAGAAAAUCAGCUACGUGUAGUUGUUUGCCGGUACCGUACGAAUAAGGAUCGGCUAACUCCGUGCCGGCAGCCGCGGUAAUACGGAGGAUCCGAGCGUUAUCCGGGUUUAUUGGGUUUAAAGGGUGCGUAGGCGGACUGGUAAGUCAGUGGUGAAAUCCUGCAGCUUAACUGUAGAAUUGCCGUUGAUACUGUUAGUCUUGAGUACAUUUGAGGUAGGCGGAAUGUGGUGUGUAGCGGUGAAAUGCAUAGAUAUACCACAGAACACCGAUUGCGAAGGCAGCUUACUAAACUGUAACUGACGCUGAGGCACGAAAGCGUGGGUAUCAAAC
rnacentral:rRNA from 1 species